AGGUUCUUCAGAACAUCUUGGAUUUUAUGGAUGAGGGGCCAUUAUUUAAAGGUUUCAUGAAGGACUGUGAAGCUGGUCUCCAUACAGACUUGACCAGUUAUGGUUCCUUGAAGAUUUUAUGACAAGACUGGAGGAAGCCUAUUUACUAGCUGACAGUGCCGAAGUGGUUAUUGUUGAAGAAUAGUAAAGGAUUACAUUUCUGUGCGGAAGGAUUAAAAAACUACACCAGACUGGUGGCCAUGACAGAUGU
rnacentral:lncRNA from 1 species